AGGCGUCCCCCGGCCCUUUCCCGGGACUAACCUCUGGAGCCGAGGAUUCGGUGCCCAGCCCCCACCCAGGCGUCUCAAUUUUUGGUGACUGUGCCCGUAGUUCAGAUGGUCCGUUGGGUUCUUGAUCGUUUUUCCGUACUCCAACUUACUGCUACACUCUUCUCUGCAUCUGGAGAUUCCUCCGGUUCGUUUGAUCUUUCGCCCGGGGUCCUACUCAAUCUAGCCUUCCAAUCCAUGGUCUUCAUGAAGACAUGAAUGCAUUGUCACUAAGUCUUCAGGAAAGAUGGGGUGAUUGACAUACCAGCUCAGGGUUGGGAAAAUGUUUUUUAUAAAUGACAAAAUAGCAAAAAUAGUUUAUUUUCUGUAGAUCUUAAAAUGGAGUAGGACCCUAUGCUCCCCCCCAAUGACCUCCACUUGCCUCUUAUCUGUAGAAAAAGUUUACUAACUGAAGAAGUUUAAUCGGAGAAGUGAGAAAAUUCAGAAGCAAAGGAAAACGGCCAAAGAAGACCAAAUAAUAAUUUAAUCAUUAAGCAAAGUCAAGGACCUUUGGUUCCUCUUCCAGAUAAUAGAUAAAUAUCGGCUUUUAUCUAUCUAUGAUCUUGACAGAUAGAUAUAUCUCAUGGCUGUAGAUAAUAUUCUGAGCCAUGUCCUUUGAGCUCUUUUGGAGAUAGUGAAAUCUCCACCUGAUGAAAGAGAUUAACUACAGAAUGACCUGACUAUAGCCUUGACUUAAGCUGCCACAAUUCUGAGACCUGGCCUCGAAGAAAUGAGAACAAACCAACCCCAGAACUGAGGACUAACUGCACUUAAAACAAUCAAGAUGACACUGGUCAGACCAAGGCAUGACCAAUUUCAAGAUGACUGUCUGAACUGACUGUGCUAUUUCUGCAUGUAGCCCCUCCCUCUGUCUAUACACCCCUGAACUUUCCCUUCAAACUGGUUGUCAGUAGGGGGAGCUGGCCGUUGGAGGGGGAGCCAUUGUCAGCCUCUGAAAUAAAUCACACUUCUUUC
rnacentral:lncRNA from 9 species